UUUUAUAGGAAAAUAAAAUCUAAAUCUAAGGGUGGAGAUAGUUCUGAAAUUAUAAUCUAAGGGAUAUACUUUUGUUUAGGAUCAUGUGUAUGAUGUCAUGCUUUAGCAAUCGACGCCUUCAUCGUAUCUCUUCAACCGCGUCCCCCUGCAGAAAUUAUUUCCUUUGAAGAGUUGUAUUCUUUCACACGGCAGCGUUUCAGUGGAACGUCCUCUUUUUCCUUACUGUUUCAAAUUUUCUCUGAUUUUCCUUUUUACCUCUUAUUUUUCAUUCCGCUCCAGAUAAUUUUCCUCUUGCCCUUUCACCUUUCUCUAGAGUUUCAGACUCCGAGACUCCGUUAAAGUAUUUUUGUUUCUCUGCAAUUUUCUAAUUAAUAAAUUUGGAAUGGAGGGUUUAACAAUUCAAUAUCUGCUCGGAUGAUGGUAUGGCAGCUUUCACGGCGGUUACUGUUUCUCUCGUUUUCCGUUCGGCGUGGGCUGAGCCAAAGUCUAUACCUUCAACGUUUAUGUACCUUACUCUCGACAUGGGUGAUCAUGUUAUGGCCGAGAAGGUCUCGUACUUGUUCAGAAGCCCAGGUUUCAGAUAUACUCAGCUUCAAGGUUCCUCCGGUUUUGGUAGUACGUAGGAACAUGGUUACAGUUGUAUGUUUUGAUUAAAAGGAUAGUUGCAAGCCGAGGUGACUGGCUUGAAAGGCCCUUAUAUCUUAACCAAUUGUUUGUGAUGGAUAGCUCUCGGUGAAUGACACGUUCAAGUAUAGGAUUUGUCUUCAUAUGGUAUCUUAUUGUAAACUUAAUUAUUGAUGUUUAGUUAUAUAUUUUCAUUGUUUCGUAUUUAUUUUCCUAAUUCUAUUUCAUUAGUAUUUCUU